rnacentral:miRNA from 1 species
AGGAAGAAGAGGGGAGGGGAGC